rnacentral:tRNA from 1 species
UUCCCAAUAGCAUAAUAGGUCAAUGCGUCCGGCUCAUAACCGGGUGAAGGAGCGGUUCGAAUCCGCCUUGGGGAA